UAUUUCCGUACCCCUUUACUGUUGUCUUUUGCCUGUCAUUCGGCUAGCAAGGUGAGCUAGGACUGCGCCAAGGGUUAACAUAAUGUGUGUCGUCUCUUCGUGUGCAGGGCAAAUAAAAAUAAGUCCACUAGCAGACCUUCAGUUGUGGCAGCGUCCUAAUUAAAAGUACACAACGCAGAACGAACCACGCUACAUUUGUAUAUGUGGGUGAUGGUUAAUCUUUAUAGACACAGACCCGAAGACAUUCAAGCAGAAAGCAUCCCAAGUCUCUAAUGGUCCCGGUACUGGUUGAUAUGCCGGCCUAAGUGACCACACACUCAAAUGGACCUACAGCUGUUGGUUGGGACACACGAUGAGCAUGAUUUGAAUGCUGCAACUGAGACUGAAUGAUGUUUAGGGACACGUGCUGAGAUCGUGUGACUGGACAUGGGCCGGGUAUUUGUGACCACGACCUACAAGGGGUGAAAAAGCACAGCAGCAACCACUUUUUUUAUGUUUAUUCCAUCCCUCUAGCUACCCCUUAUUCCACACUAUGCCUUUUAUGUUCCCUCAACUUCGGACACUUUGGAAUGCUCCAUCUUCUCUCAAUAAACCCACCCUACCUUCACCCAUUUUCCCUAUACUGGUUCCUUCACUUGUUCUUCCCCCUCAUUUGAUAACAUCUAGACUCUAACACAUUUAAGUGUUGUGGUGUACUGGUUUUGCAAGCUUUUUUUUUCACCUGUGUAAUGAAUGCUGUCCUGCUUAUUCUGUGGUUCAUACUAAAUGUAGUGGUAAAUGUGCUUCUCACAAUUGACAGCAGCAACAUGGAACUGUUAAAUUGAGAAGAUGAGUGUUGACAUUACUUUAGGCAUGGCUUCCAUGUUUUGAGUAUGUUAGAUGAUUUUCUCAUUUGAUCUAGUACUUUUUAAAAUUAAACCUA